rnacentral:rRNA from 1 species
CAAUGGCGUAUAUUAAAGUUGUUGCAGUUAAAAAGCUCGUAGUUGGAUUUCUGGCAGGAGCGACCGGUCGGCCCAAGUGGUGUGUACUAGUGUUGCAUCUGGCCAUAUUUGCGGAGAGCGUGUGUGGCAUUAAUUUGUCGUGCACGGGACCCGCAUCGUUUACUGUGAGAAAAUUAGAGUGUUCAAAGCAGGCUUAUGCCUUGGAUAUGUUAGCAUGGAAUAAUAAGAUAAGACUUUGGCGGUCUAUUUUGUUGGUUUGCACGCCAUUGUAAUGAUUGAUAGGGACAGUUGGGGGUAUUCAUAUUUAACUGUCAGAGGUGAAAUUCUUGGAUUUGUUUAAAGACGGACUACUGCGAAAGCAUUUGCCAAGGAUGUUUUCAUUGAUCAAGAACGAAAGUUAGGGAUCGAAGACGAUCAGAUACCAU